GAUGAACGCUGGCGGCGUGCUUAACACAUGCCAGUCGAACGAAGCACUUUAUUUGAUUUCCUUCGGGACUGAUUAUUUUGUGACUGAGUGGCGGACGGGUGAGUAACGCGUGGGUAACCUGCCUUGUACAGGGGGAUAACAGUUGGUAACGGCUGCUAAUACCGCAUAAGCGCACGGCAUCGCAUGAUGCAGUGUGAAAAACUCCGGUGGUAUAAGAUGGACCCGCGUUGGAUUAGCUAGUUGGUGAGGUAACGGCCCACCAAGGCGACGAUCCAUAGCCGACCUGAGAGGGUGACCGGCCACAUUGGGACUGAGACACGGCCCAAACUCCUACGGGAGGCAGCAGUGGGGAAUAUUGCACAAUGGGCGAAAGCCUGAUGCAGCGACGCCGCGUGAGCGAAGAAGUAUUUCGGUAUGUAAAGCUCUAUCAGCAGGGAAGAUAAUGACGGUACCUGACGAAGAAGCACCGGCUAAAUACGUG
rnacentral:rRNA from 1 species